rnacentral:rRNA from 1 species
UAAGGAAUAUUGGACAAUGGAGGCAACUCUGAUCCAGCCAUGCCGCGUGAAGGAUGAAGGCGCUACGCGUUGUAAACUUCUUUUCUCUUAGAAAAAACACCCCGAUUCGUUCGGGGUCUGAUUGUACAAGAGGAAUAAGCAUCGGCUAACUUCGUGCCAGCAGCCGCGGUAAUACGAAGGAUGCAAGCGUUAUCCGGAUUCACUGGGUUUAAAGGGUGUGCAGGUGGGGUAAUAAGUCAGUGGUGAAAGCCCCCGACUCAAUCGGGGAACUGCCAUAGAUACUGUUAUUCUUGAGUGUGGUUGAGGCAGAUGGAAUAUGACAUGUAGCGGUGAAAUGCUUAGAUAUGUCAUAGAACACCAAUCGCGAAGGCAGUCUGCCAAACCAUUACUGACACUGAAACACGAAAGUGCGGGGAUCAAACAG